UUUCGCGGCGGGCUACCGGCCGAAACCACCCUGCACCUGAGUUGCAGGGGCGAAGACCGCGCCCUGACCCUGGUUCCGGACCAGGGUGUGGGAG
rnacentral:tRNA from 1 species